rnacentral:rRNA from 1 species
ACCCGUUCCCAUCCCGAACACGGAAGUUAAGCUCUUCAGCGCCGAUGGUAGUGAGGGUUUGUCCCUUGCGAGAGUAGGACGCUGCCAGGC